AUUGAACGCUGGCGGAAUGCUUUACACAUGCAAGUCGAGCGGCAGCGCGGGGCAACCUGGCGGCGAGCGGCGAACGGGUGAGUAACAUAUCGGAACGUGUCCUAUCGUGGGGGAUAGCCCGGCGAAAGCCGGAUUAAUACCGCAUACGAUCGAGAGAUGAAAGUGGGGACCGCAAGGCCUCACACUAUAGGGGCGGCCGAUGCCGGAUUAGCUAGUUGGUGAGGUAAAGGCUCACCAAGGCGACGAUCCGUAGCUGGUCUGAGAGGAUGAUCAGCCACACUGGGACUGAGACACGGCCCAGACUCCUACGGGAGGCAGCAGUGGGGAAUUUUGGACAAUGGGCGCAAGCCUGAUCCAGCCAUGCCGCGUGAGUGAAGAAGGCCUUCGGGUUGUAAAGCUCUUUCGGCCGGGACGAAAUCGCUCUCGAUAAUACCGGGAGUGGAUGACGGUACCGGAAGAAGAAGCACCGGCUAACUACGUGCCAGCCGCCGCAGUAAAAC
rnacentral:rRNA from 1 species